AGAGUUUGAUCUGGCUCAGGACGAACGCUGGCGGCGUGCCUAAUACAUGCAAGUCGAACGAACUCUGGUAUUGAUUGGUGCUUGCAUCAUGAUUUACAUUUGAGUGAGUGGCGAACUGGUGAGUAACACGUGGGAAACCUGCCCAGAAGCGGGGGAUAACACCUGGAAACAGAUGCUAAUACCGCAUAACAACUUGGACCGCAUGGUCCGAGCUUGAAAGAUGGCUUCGGCUAUCGCUUUUGGAUGGUCCCGCGGCGCAUUAGCUAGAUGGUGGGGUAACGGCUCACCAUGGCAAUGAUACGUAGCCGACCUGAGAGGGUAAUCGGCCACAUUGGGACUGAGACACGGCCCAAACUCCUACGGGAGGCAGCAGUAGGGAAUCUUCCACAAUGGACGAAAGUCUGAUGGAGCAACGCUUCGUGAGUGAAGAAGGGUUUCGGCUCGUAAAACUCUGUUGUUAAAGAAGAACAUAUCUGAGAGUAACUGUUCAGGUAUUGACGGUAUUUAACCAGAAAGCCACGGCUAACUACGUGCCAGCAGCCGCGGUAAUACGUAGGUGGCAAGCGUUGUCCGGAUUUAUUGGGCGUAAAGCGAGCGCAGGCGGUUUUUUAAGUCUGAUGUGAAAGCCUUCGGCUCAACCGAAGAAGUGCAUCGGAAACUGGGAAACUUGAGUGCAGAAGAGGACAGUGGAACUCCAUGUGUAGCGGUGAAAUGCGUAGAUAUAUGGAAGAACACCAGUGGCGAAGGCGGCUGCCUGGUCUGUAACUGACGCUGAGGCUCGAAAGUAUGGGUAGCAAACAGGAUUAGAUACCCUGGUAGUCCAUACCGUAAACGAUGAAUGCUAAGUGUUGGAGGGUUUCCGCCCUUCAGUGCUGCAGCUAACGCAUUAAGCAUUCCGCCUGGGGAGUACGGCCGCAAGGCUGAAACUCAAAGGAAUUGACGGGGGCCCGCACAAGCGGUGGAGCAUGUGGUUUAAUUCGAAGCUACGCGAAGAACCUUACCAGGUCUUGACAUACUAUGCAAAUCUAAGAGAUUAGACGUUCCCUUCGGGGACAUGGAUACAGGUGGUGCAUGGUUGUCGUCAGCUCGUGUCGUGAGAUGUUGGGUUAAGUCCCGCAACGAGCGCAACCCUUAUUAUCAGUUGCCAGCAUUAAGUUGGGCACUCUGGUGAGACUGCCGGUGACAAACCGGAGGAAGGUGGGGAGACGUCAAAUCAUCAUGCCCCUUAUGACCUGGGCUACACACGUGCUACAAUGGAUGGUACAACGAGUUGCGAACUCGCGAGAGUAAGCUAAUCUCUUAAAGCCAUUCUCAGUUCGGAUUGUAGGCUGCAACUCGCCUACAUGAAGUCGGAAUCGCUAGUAAUCGCGGAUCAGCAUGCCGCGGUGAAUACGUUCCCGGGCCUUGUACACACCGCCCGUCACACCAUGAGAGUUUGUAACACCCAAAGUCGGUGGGGUAACCUUUUAGGAACCAGCCGCCUAAGGUGGGACAGAUGAUUAGGGUGAAGUCGUAACAAGGUAACCGU
rnacentral:rRNA from 1 species